rnacentral:piRNA from 1 species
UAGAUGUUGCCUGGACCUGGUCUCUG